rnacentral:rRNA from 1 species
CGUUGUUCGGAAUCAUUGGGCGUAAAGGGCGCGCAGGUGGUUCUGUAUGUCUGCCGUGAAAGCAUACAGCUCAACUGUAUUGUGUCGGUAGAAACUGCAGGACUUGAGGCUGGGAGGGGCUGGUGGAAUUCCCUGUGUAGCGGUGAAAUGCGUAGAGAUGGGGGAGAACACUCGUGGCGAAGGCGGCCAGCUAGACCAGUUCUGACACUGAGGCGCGACAGCGUGGGGAGCAAACAGG